rfam:Oryza barthii chromosome 1, whole genome shotgun sequence.
AAAAAAAGCAAACUCUGGUUUUCAUGUCCAACGUUUGACAGUCCGUCUUAUUUAAAAAAUUAUAAAAAAAAUUAAAACACAAGUCACGCAUAAAGUAUUAAUCAUGUUUUAUCAUCUAACAACAAUAAAAAUAUUAAUUAUAAAAAAUUUUAUAUAAGACAGACGGUCAAACGUUGAACACGGAAACCCAGGGUUUGUUUUUUU